UGAAUACGAGACGCUAAGGCGUCGAAGUAGUGUAUGUCAUACUUCCAAGAGAAGCUUGCACUGUCAUAGAUAAAAAACGCCUGUACCAUAACCGACACAGGUGGGUAGGUAGAGUAUACUAAGGGGCGCGAGAUAACUCUCUCUAAGGAACUCGGCAAAAUAACUCCGUAACUUCGGGAGAAGGAGUGCCUUAUUCGUAAGGUUGCAAUAACAAGAUCCAAGCAACUGUUUAUCAAAAACACAGGUCUCCGCUAAGUCGUAAGACGAUGUAUGGGGGCUGACGCCUGCCCAGUGCCAGAAGGUUAAAGAAGUUGGUUAGCAAUUGCGAAGCUGAUAACUGAAGCCCUGGUGAACGGCGGCCGUAACUAUAACGGUCCUAAGGUAGCGAAAUUCCUUGUCGGGUAAGUUCCGACCCGCACGAAAGGCGUAAUGAUUUGGAUACUGUCUCGGAGAGGGGCUCGGUGAAAUAGACUUGUCUGUGAAGAUGCGGACUACCUGCACCAGGACAGAAAGACCCUAUGAAGCUUUACUGUAACUUGAAAUUGAAAUUGGACUUUAUUCGCGCAGUAUAGGUGGGAGGCGUUGAUUAUAAUCUUGUGGGAUUGUUGGAGCCAUCAGUGAGAUACCACUCUUGUAAUGUUAGAUUUCUAACUUUGAAUCAUUAUCUGGUCAAAGAACAGUUUCAGGCGGGCAGUUUGACUGGGGCGGUCGCCUCCUAAACGGUAACGGAGGCGUACAAAGGUUUCCUCUGAACGGUUAGAAAUCGUAUCUAGAGUGUAAAGGCAUAAGGAAGCUUGACUGUGAGACCUACAAGUCGAGCAGGGACGAAAGUCGGUCUUAGUGAUCUGACGGUACUGAGUGGAAAGGCCGUCACUCAACGGAUAAAAGUUACUCUAGGAUAACAGGCUGAUCUCCCCCAAGAGUUCACAUCGACGGGGAGGUUUGGCACCUCGAUGUCGGCUCAUCGCAUCCUGGGGCGGUAGUACGUCCCAAGGGUUGGGCUGUUCGCCACGAAAGCGGUACGCGAGCUGGGUUCAGAACGUCGUGAGACAGUUCGGUCCUUAUCCGGUGUAGGCGUUAGAAUAUUGAGAGGAGCCUUCUUUAGUACGAGAGGACCGAGAAGGACAUACCUCUGGUGUACCAGUUAUCGUGCCAACGGUAAACGCUGGGUAGCUAUGUAUGGAGUGGAUAACCGCUGAAAGCAUCUAAGUGGGAAGCCCACCUCAAGAUAAGUAUUCU
rnacentral:rRNA from 1 species